UAAUUCGAAUUUUAAAAAGCACAGAGGUCUUACCCCACCUGCUGGGAUCAUCCACGGAUAUGACGUUUGGCCUUAACAAAAUUCUAGCAAACAGCAAAACUCUUUUUGCCAGUGAUCCAGAUACAACGUCAGAAUUUUGAAAUAAAAAGGUGGGAAAGAAAAUUUAAAUAUCACAUUGUUUACUGCCAAAUUUGCAAAGGGCGCAGUCACCCUCUUGUCUGUGGGAAAUGUAAGUUGCCUCUCUCGUUCUGAAAGCCCCAUCUGGUAAUAUUUUCAGAGGACCCCUAAAAGUCUUAUACCUCCCAAUUACCCUUUUAAGAAUCUACCCAAAGAAUGU